rnacentral:rRNA from 1 species
UACGUAGGGGGCAAGCGUUAUCCGGAUUCACUGGGCGUAAAGGGAGCGCAGGCGGCACGGCAAGUCUGGUGUGAAAACCCGGGGCUCAACCCCGGGACUGCAUUGGAAACUGCUGGGCUGGAGUGUCGGAGGGGUAAGCGGAAUUCCUAGUGUAGCGGUGAAAUGCGUAGAUAUUAGGAGGAACACCAGUGGCGAAGGCGGCUUACUGGACGAUGACUGACGCUGAGGCUCGAAAGCGUGGGGAGCAAACAGG